rnacentral:rRNA from 1 species
AGCAGUGAGGAAUAUUGGUCAAUAGCCUAACGGCUGAACCAGCAAUUUGGAAGAAUGUAUAGCAAUAGCUGAUUGCAUCAACAAAUAGUUGAUGCAAAAUUGAUUAUAUCAAAUAAAAUUCUAGGUAGAUUUUUGAUAAUGACAUUGCUUACCUAAGUCUUGACCAAAUUACGUGCCAGCAGUCGCGGUAAUACGUAAAAGACUAGUGUUAUUCAUCUUUAAUUGGUUUAAAGGGUACCUAGACAGCGAAUAAAGCCAUAGUAGGGACUAAUUCGCUAGAGUUACUUAUGAGGGGGUAUUAAAGUACUGCAGGUGUAGAGAUGAAAUUUUAUGAUACCUCUUUUCGUAUGAGAAACUAUGGCACAGGUAUAUGAUAACUGACGUUGAAGGACGAAGGA